GUCAAAAUGCAACUGCAACUAGAGGUAAAGCUUGAGGGUUUACGUUUUCCAGAUUUCCACAGUGUUAAAAAGUGUUCUGGAACUCCUGUGUAGAUUCAUUUCUCCCCUGGCUUUGGGAAGUGCGAUUACUGAACUAAAAAGUCACCGCAUCUUUCUCUGGCAACCGGAGGGUAUAAAUACUGAGCUGGGGGAGAGGCAUUUAAUCGGUUCAAUGUGUUCAUCACUUUAAAAAGUAUGAUCAGUUUCUGUUCAUUAUUGGAAUGUGGGGACUAAAGCGCUGCUGUGAGCCGGCUCACCUUUUCAUGUGGCAAACAAGAAAACGGACACGAAGACGAGGCGAAACGGCUCGUCUCCACGCCCAGGGCUCGGCCCCAGACUCUCAGCUCGUGUCCGCGGCGUUCCUCUGCCGAUGUAGGUGUUCUCCUCGUGGGGGCCUUCGGGGAGCCAUCGGCUCAGGAAAAGCCCAUCUCAGGGCCACAACCGCUGGGUCCUCUGCUGCCCCCAAGGUUUUCCUCCGGUCACAGACAUGCAUUGGGCAAUGCUGGAUGUUGGCUCUUGCUUGGUCUACCCAGGGGUGUCCCUGCAAGUUUUCGGGCGAAAAUGGCACCUUCCAUUCUUUUUUCAGAAUGGUUCUUAGUGUCCAGUUACACCAUCCUCAACACCAGCGGAGUUCUCACGGGCACAGGCCGUGACACGACCUCACGACUGCCACUGGGCCGGCAGCGAGGGUGGGAAGACUCGGGCCAGAUCCAGAAAGGCGAGUGUGUGUCUUAAGCCUGAGAGACACCUGGGUGGACGCCGUGCCCUCCGAAUGUCCUCUCUCUGCCGGUCACUUAGCUCCCCUCGCUCUUCUAACCCCAGUGGACUUGCCCCGCUCCAGAGCCUGCCGCCCAGUCUGCGAUGACACGUGCACAGGGGUGGUGACAAUAUGCCGGGCGCUGAAAAAAAAGAAUGUGUGAUUCCUGAUGGGAUCUGCGUGCAAAGGUGCAGUCCGGGGGGAUCCGUGUGGGGAAUGACCAUGACUGCCAGUCAUUUCUGCAAGCAAUGCAAUUUUUUUUUUGAAAUUUCAGAAAAUAUGGUUACUUUCAGAGCUUUAGAAUUAUUUCCUAUAGCUUUUUGAUGUCUCUGUUGCUCUUUCUAAAUUCACGUGGGGUAUGGCUGAUUUACAAGGUUGGGUGAGUUUCCGCUGUACAGCAAAGUGAUUGAGUCAUACAUAUAUUUUACAGUCUUUUUCAUAUUCGUUUCCACUAUGGUUUAUCGCAGGCUGUUGACUGUAGUUCCCUGGGCUCUACGGUAGGACCCUGUCGUUUAUCCAUCCUGCAUAUAUACUCGUUUGCAUCGGCUCAUCCCAAACUCCCGAACCUUCUGCCCCCCCACCCCUCCCC
ensembl:lncRNA